rnacentral:rRNA from 1 species
UACAGAGGGUGCGAGCGUUGUCCGGAAUCACUGGGCGUAAAGGGCGCGUAGGUGGCGCGGUAAGCGUGCGGUGAAAGCUCGGGGCUCAACCCCGAGUCGGCCGUGCGAACUGCCGGGCUUGAGCACUGUAGAGGCGGGUGGAAUUCCGGGUGUAGCGGUGGAAUGCGUAGAGAUCCGGAAGAACACCGGUGGCGAAGGCGGCCCGCUGGGCAGUAGCUGACACUGAGGCGCGACAGCGUGGGGAGCAAACAGG